CUUCUGAGCUCUGCAAUGGUGGCUUUGUUGGCUGAGAUUUCAACUUCGGUUGUAAAGUCUCUGUCUUGCCUACUUUUAGUGAAAUUGAAGACGCGUGUGGUGAGGAAAAAUGUAAAUCCUGAGUGGAAUGAAGACCGUACACUGUCAAUUGCAGAUCCAAGCAUCCCAAUCAAGCUAGUGGUACCAACUAAAGAUUGAUGGUGUCUUUGUGGUUAUGACUGAAGGCUCUCAUUUGGUUGGAAAGUUU